GCUCCUUAAUCUCAGCUGUCAUCAAAUUUAAUUGGCGAAAAUACUUACGCUCUCGCUGCCUGACCGAAGUACAGUAGGUUACUGGCUUAUCCUGUCAACAGUUGAUGGGACGAGACAUCACUCAAAGGGCUCUUGUUCCGAAGCAAUUUGGUCAAGUGGUGCAUCGUAAAUUCGGGAAUAGCCGUGGCGUGCCUCGCCGUCAUGGUGAAGAUUUAGAGGAUAAGGAGGCAGUUGGUAGUCCAGGUCUUGCUGUCUCUCGAAAACCUAAGCUGGAAUAAGCGUGUAGAAAGCGUAUGGUUUCCUCGUUUGGACGAGGGUUCGACUCCCUCUAGCUCCACGA
rnacentral:tmRNA from 1 species